UGCUGUUCACGUGGUCUCGGCGGACGGCGGCCGGCUGGGGUCAGCGCCCGCGUGUCGCGUUUGCCUCGCGCCGCCGCCGCCUCGAGCCCGGGCCGCCGCCACCACCAAUCCCCCCUCCCCCCUCGCACCCCCUAGCCAGUUGCAGCUACCCCCUGCCAUGGACUGGCAACCAGAUGAGCAGGGGCUGCAGCAGGUCUUGCAGCUGCUCAAGGACUCACAGUCACCUAACACGGCCACGCAGCGCAUAGUCCAGGAUAAACUGAAACAGCUCAAUCAGUUCCCAGAUUUCAACAACUAUCUUAUCUUCGUCCUGACUAGGCUGAAAUCAGAAGAUGAGCCAACGCGCUCCCUCAGUGGGCUCAUCCUGAAGAACAAUGUCAAAGCUCAUUACCAGAGCUUUCCACCGCCCGUGGCUGAGUUUAUCAAGCAGGAGUGUCUCAACAACAUUGGUGAUGCUUCCUCCCUCAUUCGCGCCACCAUUGGAAUCCUCAUCACCACCAUCGCCUCCAAGGGGGAGCUGCAGAUGUGGCCAGAGCUGCUGCCUCAGUUGUGCAACCUGCUUAACUCUGAGGACUACAACACCUGCGAGGGGGCCUUUGGGGCCUUGCAAAAGAUCUGCGAGGACUCGUCGGAGCUCUUGGACAGCGACGCCCUCAAUCGCCCCCUCAAUGUCAUGAUCCCCAAGUUCCUGCAGUUCUUCAAGCAUUGCAGCCCUAAGAUCAGAUCCCAUGCCAUCGCUUGCGUGAACCAGUUCAUCAUGGACCGGGCUCAGGCGCUGAUGGAUAACAUUGACACCUUCAUUGAGCACUUGUUUGCUCUGGCGGUGGAUGAAGACCCUGAGGUUCGGAAGAACGUGUGCCGGGCCUUGGUGAUGCUGCUGGAGGUGCGGAUCGACCGUCUCAUCCCACACAUGCACAGCAUCAUCCAGUACAUGCUGCAGCGCACUCAGGACAGCGAUGAGAAUGUGGCGCUGGAGGCCUGUGAGUUCUGGCUCACACUGGCUGAGCAGCCCAUCUGCAAGGAGGCCCUGACUUCUCACUUAGUACAGCUGAUCCCCAUCCUGGUGAAUGGCAUGAAAUAUUCAGAGAUUGACAUCAUCCUGCUUAAGGGUGAUGUGGAGGAGGAUGAGGCCAUCCCAGACAGCGAGCAGGACAUCAAGCCACGCUUCCACAAGUCGCGCACGGUAACACUGCAGCACGAGGAGGAGCGGGCCCAGGACGGCGAGGACGGCGACGAUGAGGACGAUGAUGAUGACACUCUCUCGGACUGGAACCUCCGAAAGUGCUCUGCAGCUGCCCUGGAUGUUCUGGCCAAUGUGUUCCGGGAGGAGCUGCUGCCCCAUCUGCUGCCUCUGCUCAAAGGACUGCUUUUCCACCCCGAGUGGGUCAUCAAGGAGUCGGGCAUCCUGGUGCUGGGUGCCAUCGCUGAGGGCUGCAUGCAGGGCAUGGUGCCCUACCUGCCCGAGCUCAUCCCACACCUGAUCCAGUGCCUGUCGGACAAGAAGGCGCUGGUGCGCUCCAUCGCGUGCUGGACGCUAAGCCGCUACGCGCACUGGGUUGUGAGCCAGCCCCCUGACACCUACCUCAAGCCCCUCAUGACCGAGCUGCUUAAGCGUAUCCUGGACAGCAACAAGCGUGUGCAGGAGGCAGCAUGCAGCGCCUUUGCCACCCUGGAGGAAGAGGCCUGCACAGAGCUGGUUCCCUACCUCAGCUUCAUACUGGACACACUGGUUUUUGCCUUUGGGAAGUACCAGCACAAAAACCUGCUCAUCUUGUACGAUGCCAUCGGCACACUGGCUGACUCUGUGGGGCACCACCUUAACCAACCGGAGUACAUCCAGAAGCUGAUGCCUCCCCUGAUUCAGAAGUGGAACGAGUUGAAGGAUGAGGACAAGGACCUCUUCCCACUGCUGGAAUGCCUGUCGUCCGUGGCAACCGCCCUCCAGAGUGGCUUCCUGCCCUACUGUGAACCCGUGUACCAGCGCUGUGUCACCCUGGUGCAAAAGACCCUUGCCCAGGCCAUGAUGUACAGCCAGCAUCCUGAGCAGUACGAAGCACCUGACAAGGACUUCAUGAUCGUGGCGCUAGACCUACUGAGUGGCCUGGCCGAGGGGCUGGGCUGCCACGUGGAGCAGCUGGUUGCACGCAGCAACAUCAUGACGCUACUCUUCCAGUGCAUGCAGGACACGAUGCCUGAGGUUCGGCAGAGUUCCUUCGCACUCCUGGGCGACCUCACCAAGGCUUGCUUUGUGCAUGUCAAACCCUGUAUUGCCGAAUUCAUGCCCAUCCUGGGCACAAACCUGAACCCUGAGUUCAUCUCGGUCUGCAACAAUGCAACGUGGGCCAUUGGUGAGAUCUGCAUGCAGAUGGGGGAGGAGAUGCAGCCAUAUGUGCAGAUGGUGCUGAACAACCUGGUGGAGAUCAUCAACCGGCCCAACACUCCCAAGACACUGCUGGAAAACACAGCCAUCACCAUUGGGCGCCUCGGCUAUGUGUGCCCACAGGAGGUUGCACCCAUGCUGCAGCAAUUUAUCCGGCCCUGGUGCACGUCACUGAGGAACAUCCGGGACAAUGAGGAGAAGGACUCUGCUUUCCGUGGCAUCUGCGUCAUGAUCCGUGCCAACCCUGCAGGCGUCAUGCAGGAUUUCAUCUUCUUUUGUGAUGCCGUCGCCUCCUGGGUGAGCCCCAAGGAUGACCUGCGGGACAUGUUUUAUAAGAUCCUCCAUGGCUUCAAGGAGCAGGCGGGUGAGGAGAGCUGGCAGCAGUUCUCAGAGCAGUUCCCGCCCCUGCUCAAGGAGCGGCUGGCAGCAUUUUACGGGGUCUAGGCAGAGCAGUGAUGCCAGCUAGCCCUCUGUCUACCUUCUCUGGCCAGGCCACACAAGUUCCCAUCCGUGCUGGGAGGGUUACCGGGAUCGUGUCAAUCCCCAGGUGUCGCCGACCCCGUUGGCGGGGGGUUAGGGAGGCCGGGAGGAGUUGAACAUGGGACAACACGACGCGACUUCCCCGCCCAGCUCCCGGACCUUGGAAGGGGGGGGCGGGGGGGGCUUAGACAGCGGGUUUCACCCACCAGGGGUCUCAGAGGAGAGGGCCUUUUAUUUUAUCCCCAUUUCCCAGAGGGGAGGGGGGGUUGGGGGGAGGUGCAGGGCCAGGUCAGGCUGGGCUGGGAGGGAGUGCAACUGCAACACCUUGAAGGGGGGCUGCCAGAGCCCAGAUGUGACCCUGCAGCUGAGGGGUGGCUGCCAGGGACUCAGCUGAGCAGCAGCAGGUCAUGGGGGGGGUGGGGGUGGGGCGGGGUGGGCUUGGCCAUGCCCUUCCAGGGGCCAUUACCCUGCUGUACCAUAGCUCCAGCUGCUGGCGCAGGCGCCAGGCUGCCCCAUCCCCCAGCCACCCUAUGCCUGCAUGACCACUGCUGUAGAGUAGCCAGCCUGUGAGUCGUGAGCCUGCGUGAUUGUUUUCACCUAGGAAGCUUCCCUCUCUCCUGCCCUGGCUUGAUGUGAUGCUCUAACACAGCAAGAAACACACUCCCUAUGAGGGUCCUGGAUCAGCAGGUGCUGGGAGUCGGGUCAGGGCAGCUGUAGGAGACGCAUGCGCUGUGUUGUGAUCUUCCUUAAAGGCAAAAGACCCCCCUCCCCCCAGUGCAGUGAAUUGUUUUAACCUGUUUUUAACCUGUCCUUUGCUGUCUCGUGACCCAAGCCCAUCAUGUGCCCCUCGGCCUUAGUGGGGGGGGUCUGUACCUUAUUCACUGGGGGCCAGGGAUAGACACAGGCUGGGGCUUGGAUCUCAUGCCUCAGCAGGUGCUUGGCUGAGGUCCUGCCACGGUGCGCAAAUCUAUUCCAGUCCUGGGUGGUCUUAAUGGCUGCAGGUUGGUGCCCUUGGGAUCCCAGGUGGGUGUGGGGGUGGAGUUUAUUUUACUAUUAAUUGGUUACCAGGCAGAAGGCAAGGGUGGGGUGUGGGGACACACUUUCAUGGAGGAAGGGGAUUGCAAGGAACUGCUGCUGCUGCUGGGAGAAGUUGAUCUGGUGCAGCCAGGAUCAGCGGGGUAGGUGAUGGGGGAAGAGAAAAUCUAUCCCCACUGCAUCCUGCCCCACGGGGAAGCAAGAGAGAUUUCCAACUCCCAGUUGGCCUCGCCCUGUGUCAGCAGUAGGGUGCUGGUUUCCAGGCAGGGGCAGAUGCUGCCUUCCUCUGACCCUGGUCUCCUCGUACUGGAGCAUCCAUCAGCAAGGGGAACCGCCACCAGCCCAGUCCAGUGCCUGUUGAGAAGACUCCCUGUCCUGGGCCCACAUAUGAAAAGAACCACAGGCCACAGCCACUGAUGCAUUACAGGGGCCCUGUGGGGCCUAGGCUUCAUGGCUUCUUUCCCUACACCAGGGCCUUUGCUGCCUCUGAGGGGGCCUCUGCUUCUUAGCAAGGACCUCUCUUCUUUUUAAAGCAUUCCCAUUGGGUUCUGUGCUCUCUGUUCCUCUCUGCGGAAGACCGAUGCCUCCAGUGAGGGCUGCCUCUCCUGCUCUUUUGAAAUGCAUGAGCCCAGGGACCACAGCUGGAGGCUACAAGUCCCCCUUUGCGCCGGUGACGUCUUGGCGCCUUGUCCUGGAUGCCUGCAGCUCCCCAUGCUCCUUUCGUGCCAGUGCUUCUCGCUUGCGCCUCCUGGAUCCGUGUCGUCGUGGCUGUGCUGUGCAUUCUCAGUGGUGAUGCCCCUUGUGCCCCAUGUUGCAGCCGCUACUUGCACCUUGCUGGAAUGAGGUUUCUCUCAUUUUAUGUAUAAUUUUUUUUUUUUUUGUCUACUUAUGAAACGGAACAAGCCUGAGCCA